rnacentral:rRNA from 1 species
GCUGGAUUCGCUAGUAAUCGCGCAUCAGCCAUGGCGCGGUGAAUACGUUCCCGGGCCCUUGUACACACCGCCCGUCCAAGCCAUGGAAGCCGGGGGGUGCCUGAAGUGCGUUGCCGCAAGGCGCGCCCUAGAGCGAAACCGGUGACUGGGGCUAAGUCGUAACAAGGUAGC